rnacentral:rRNA from 1 species
GACGAACGCUGGCGGCGUGCUUAACACAUGCAAGUCGAACGGAAAGGCCUCUUUCGGGGGGUACUCGAGUGGCGAACGGGUGAGUAACACGUGAGUAACCUGCCCUUGACUUUGGGAUAACUUCAGGAAACUGGGGCUAAUACCGGAUAGGAGCUCCUGCUGCAUGGUGGGGGUUGGAAAGUUUCGGCGGUUGGGGAUGGACUCGCGGCUUAUCAGCGUGUUGGUGGGGUAGUGGCUUACCAAGGCUUUGACGGGUAGCCGGCCUGAGAGGGUGACCGGCCACAUUGGGACUGAGAUACGGCCCAGACUCCUACGGGAGGCAGCAGUGGGGAAUAUUGCACAAUGGGUGGAAGCCUGAUGCAGCAACGCCGUGUGCGGGAUGACGGCCUUCGGGUUGUAAACCGCUUUCGCUCAUGACGAAGCUUUGUGUGACGGUAGUGGGUAAAGAAGCACCGGCUAACUACGUG